rnacentral:rRNA from 1 species
AUACGGAGGGUGCGAGCGUUAAUCGGAAUUACUGGGCGUAAAGCGCGCGUAGGCGGUUUGGUCAGUCGGAUGUGAAAGCCCCGGGCUUAACCUGGGAAUUGCAUUCGAUACUGCCAGGCUGGAAUGUAGUAGAGGGUAGUGGAAUUCCGGGUGUAGCGGUGAAAUGCGUAGAUAUCCGGAGGAACAUCAGUGGCGAAGGCGACUACCUGGACUAACAUUGACGCUGAGGUGCGAAAGCGUGGGGAGCAAACAGGAUUAGAAACCCCAGUAGUCC